UAUACGUAAUUCUAUAAUUUCUCUAAAAAAUACCAAAGUGGAACUAGACGUAAUGAAAUAAGAAAUCAUUACUUUUAUGAGAGUUCAAAUAUCUUCAACGUUUUUUUAUUUUAAAUAAUUUUUUCCUCGAGCUGUACUACAAAAUAAAGUUUUGAACAAUUCGAUAAAAUAAUUAAUAUAUUAUCAAUUGAAAUUAAAAUAAAAAUUGAAAUAUCUCAUAUAUUAUAUGAAUUGUAAAUUCUUGACGAGAACAUCGUAGCGUCACUAAAUCUUUGUCAACAACUUUUUGUUUUCACGAGAGCUCUACAAUACCAGACACGUGUAAACACAUAUACAAAACGUAUCCUUGAGUGUUCCAGGAAUUUGACGAAUCCUAUUCGUGUAUGUAUGGAUAGCCGACAACUCUAGCCCCCUACUCCUCCCUAACCCAAACUCGUCGGGUAAAUCGCAGUAUGGGAUGUCAGUUUAGCGUAGACAAUCAGAGGAAUCAGACGUAUAUCCAUCCGUGUCAUUUCGCGACAGGUGGCUUUGGUACUUUGGUAGACAUUUUUCUACCGUUCAAACUCACACUAUUGUUAUUUUCAUUUAAUUAUUACUAUUAUAUGAUACCGAGGGGAACUUUGAUGUAUUAGAAGGAUGCUGUAAAAUUCGAAAGGACGGGAUGAAAGUCAAGAGGACACCAUGGUGAUUAACGAUAAAUUUGAUAACUUUUCGUCGAAAUGUGAUAAUAUUUGUUCACUUUUAGAUUAACUCCAUUUCUUAUAAAUAUUUCGUGAUAUUAUCGUAAUUAAUAUCUAAUAUAACAAAUUCUAAAUUCACGGUUUAUUAGAACACCAAGAUGAAAAAUGCAAGAUUAAAGAAAUUAUUUUUUUCUUUCGAAUAUAUUAAAUUAUAUUUCCGAAGAAAUUGAAUAGAUUGUUUAACAUAAAUUUAACAUAGAUUCUCUCGAUUCUGUUUCAUUUGAGUAAGAAAUUCAAAUAACUUUCUCAUUUUGCUUCAUUAUUUGUAAAUUGUCUGUAAUAUAAUAUGGACUAUUAAUUUCGUUUUUCUCAAUAACUUUUAUUACAUUUGAGAAAUUACGUUAUCACAGACUAGUUAAAACAGUUUCUGCAUAUCGCGUUAUUUUCGUAUUGCGCAGCUUUGUUUAACGGGCAGAAAAAGUGCGCCAUGUUGCAUUAGAACGAAGUCAAGUAAUGCAUAAAAUAUUUGAAAUUGUAAUGGCGGACAUUCUAUUUGGCGGAUAACUUUUACAAAUCAAUCGUAUUAUGGAAUAUUCAUACAUAUAUUUGACAAUAAUAAAAAAUACUUUGAAAAUAUUUUAAAUAUACUAACGAUAUAUUUUCUUUCGCAUUUUUGGUAUAAUAUUUAUGUGUAUAUUUUCGUGCUCUUGAUAUGAUAUAUGAUUCUACCUAUGGUAAAUAAAUAAUAAUUAAUUCGUA